rnacentral:rRNA from 1 species
GUCUAUGGCCAUGCCACCCUGAACACGCCUGGUCUCAUCUGCUCUUGGAAGCUAAGCAGGGUCAGGCUGGGUAUGGGAGACCAUCUGGAUGGUCUGAUGGGGUGGGAGACCAUCUGGAAAUACCAGGUGCUGUCAGCU